rnacentral:tRNA from 1 species
ACUUUUAAAGGACAGGUAGAACUAGCCAUUGGCCUUAGAAGCCAAGCUCCUUGGUGCAACCCCAAGUAAAAGUA